rnacentral:lncRNA from 1 species
AUGAACACAACAUGCACGCAUUACAUAUUGUGUGUGUGUGUGUGUGUGUGUGUGUGUGUGUGUGUGUGUGUGUGUGUUGUUAUGUGUGUGUGUGUGUGUGUGUGUGUGUGUGUGUGUGUGUGUGUGUGUGUGUUUCAGGAGGACUAUUCUGUGAGUGAUGUCUCCCAGGUGUUACAGAUGGGUUCAGCCCUGCAGGCUCAGGUGGGCAGACUGGUGUCAGCCGUGAUAAAAAUCACGGAGCUGGAGAGACAGCAGGUCAUGGAGAGGGUGCAGGAAGAGUGCAGCAGAGAAAGAGAAGAUCUGAACCAAACUGAGAGCAUCCACCACUUAUUUGGCUCCCUGCUGGAUGAGAGCGACCCCUUCCUGCUCAUCUGGGAUGAUGGCAGAUCUCAACACACCUCUGUUCACACCACCUUAGCCCAGCAUGGAUAAGAAAUGUGUUUUAGAGAAUGUGGAAAAUAAAUACAGAGAAUUCAUAGCUGAGACCCUGCACUGCCUAAUUAAGCUCAAGAGAGAUCUCUGUAAGUAGGCAUAUUAAUAUUAAUACAGUCCAUGAUGGGCCCCGAUCCCACAAUUAGAUUUUUUUAAGUAAUAAAAAUUCUUAAUUCUCAGCUAAUCUAAGCAUGAACUGAAUCAAUAUUUUCAAUUUUUUGUCAUUUGCCUUGUUUAAUAGUGCCAUCUAGUGGCUACAUUUCUAAUGGCUGUUUCUCUUUGUUAUUUAGUAAGCAGCCUAUUAACCUUGGACAAAAACUCAGCCUAUCCUCUCCCAAACAUCUCUGAAGACUUACGGACAGUGAUGAGGGUCAAAAAGUUUUGACCACUGGUCUCAGGUGGUCUCCUGUCAGAUAUUUUCUUCAGGAACCCAUUACUGGGAGCUGGAGGUGGAGGGAUUCUGGGAUAUAGCAGUGAACUACAGCUAUAUCCCUAUACAGCAAUGGUAGGAAAUCAAAAGAGGGCACAGCCUUUGGCUGCAACAAGAUAGAUUGUUAACCUAAUACACAAACUUUUUUAAUACCAAAUAUGAUGAUCUCUCUGCAAACGACUUCUUAAAAUAUAAAUGCACCCAUAUAUUUUCAUGUAUAAAGACUCAUUUUUACUGUGAAAAACAGAAUAUAAAUGUAUAAAAUAUAAUCAGAAAAAUGUUUACUUCCUGUUAAAUGGAUGUGGUGUCUUUUUUGUGUUUGUG